ensembl:snoRNA
UGCAGCUUUGUCAAAUUCAGUGCUCCCUCCUUUAUAGGUUGCACUGGCCAAAAUGGCUGCAACAGUGACUCUGUAGUUCAUGGGCCCCACAUUUCUUCACCAUGAUCUCUGGGGAUAAAUAUGUAUUACAGACAAAU